GAGAUGAGCGGGCCGGUGUCGGCAUGGGGAUUUUGGUUGUAGGAGAUGAGCAAUCUGCUGGAGAUAGUCUUAGAUGGGUGUGGUCUUCUUCAAUGCAAACUCAAGCGAGAUAGAGGUAUCAAAUCACAUAUAUUUUAUCUUGGAUCCAGAUUCGAUUAAAAUAUUAGCUUGAUAUAACAUGGUUUGCCUCUCAAAGUAAUGUACGUGGUUUAAUAAUCCUUAUGUGGUUAGCUUGAAGAUAAACAAGGAAUAUUUUAAUAAGUAAUAAUAUAUAACAUUUUUG
rnacentral:lncRNA from 1 species